UACAGAGGUCUCGAGCGUUAGGCGGAAUCACUGGGCUUAAAGCGUGUGUAGGCGGAUCGUUAAGUGCCUUGUGAAAAUCCCACGGCUCAACCGUGGAACUGCUUGGCAUACUGGCGGUCUUGAGCAACCUAGGGGCGAGCGGAACAAAUGGUGGAGCGGUGAAAUGCGUAGAUAUCUGGAGGAAUACCGGUGGCGAAGGCGGCAUUCUGGACCGACAUUGACACUAAAGCGCGAAAGCCAGGGGAGGCAAACCGGG
rnacentral:rRNA from 1 species